AUGAGUAUACAUCUGAAUCAUAACUGCGUACGUCUUCAUUCUACUACUGGAUUUGUCAUUUCACUGAUAAACACUUCAGUUUUCAUCUAGCCUGCUGUUAGUAAAGAUGGAGGUGAGUAAAUUUUUGAUCUAGUGUUUAUAAUUUUUGUACCGAAUCGUAUGAAUAUUGCAGUUUAGACUGAUGUAUUUUCACGGAAUGGUAGAAAGAACUAUGAGACUUUUGUUCUCAAAUGCUGAAAUGAGAGGAUUAUAAUUUUUAGAACAAAUGGCCGAAUCGCAUGAACAUUGCAAUGUAUUGUAUAAAGUACUCCCCCUGAAUGGUUUAGUGAACGAUGUGCCGAAAUGCAAGGAUUUUAAUUUUCGGAAACAAAUAUAGGAAUCAAUAAAUUCUUUGAAAACGACUGAAGAAUGAUGUCAGAAAGCAUUAUGCGAAAACAAUCGGAAUGAUACAGCAAAGCGAAACUAGACUAGUGUACAGUGUGGCCUAUUUCAAAUAUUGUUUAUAUCUACUACUUUUCAUCGACUAAUAUGCAGAUAAUUGUUAUUUCUGUGAGAUAUUCUGUUGAAAUAUCGACAUUAACUGUUGGCAAAUUAUUGAUGUACAUAAAGUUAGUAAUUUUUUGAAAUGUAAAUGAUACAAAGAUUAUACGCUGAAUAAACUACAAAUGAGGUUCCGUCACUCCAAAAUGCGAAUGAUUAUUUGUAAUUGGAAGCUGAAAAAAAAAGAGAAAGCAGAAAAAUAUAAGAAAACAAAAAAAAAAAGAAAAAAAGAAAAAUAAAACAAAAAAAGAUAAAAAAGGAUUAAAAAAGGGUGAAAAAAGGAUUCAAAAGCUUCCAAUUCCAAUGAAGAGACAGUUUAUGAUUGUAUUUUGUCUUAAGCAGAAUGCAAUUCAAGUCCUCAUCGGUAAUAAUGAAUUAAACCUCAUUUGUCAGUUCUUCAGUGCUUUUGACUUUGAAUUAGCUUUGUUUUCCAUUGUUGAAGAAAAUCGAUCCUAUUAUUAAUUAUUUUAUGUAUUCUGAUCGAACCGCGUUUUCAUAUCUAUACGAAUACGUCGAUAUUUUGCCAAACAGUUAGUCGAUAUAAAAGCAGGAUAUAAGAUCUCAUUGCGAUUUGUCAUUCAUUAAAUGAAUUAAGUUAGAAAUAUUCGUACUUAUUGUAAUAUUUAUAGAUUCAAACAAUAGGUUUGUGAAAUAUUGUUAUAAUGUUAUAUUAUUUAUUCAUUAUAUCUUACUUAUGAAUAUUUUGAAAUAUAAAACAAUAUGUAACAUGAAUA